rnacentral:rRNA from 1 species
AUCCACAGCCAUAUCAACCUGCAGCCCAAGACCGGUUACUCUUGAGCCUGGUCAGUACCUGGAUGGGAGACCACAUGGGAAAACUAGGUUGCUGUUGGUG